rnacentral:tmRNA from 1 species
UAUCUUUGAAAAUUAAGCAUUUUGCCCUAUAAUAGUACCUGCCGGCUUGUCCGGCUAUGACGCUAAACGCUUGACGGAAUAGGCGUCGUGGACCCGGGGGCAGUACCCGGCGGCUCCACCAUUUAGGAUCUUAAGGCCGCGCGCGGUCUUAGAGCAUGGGGCCGAAACAGGUUCGACACACGCAGUAAAGGUUACAGUCUGCGUCCGGUAUGGUAACCGCCGUUACCGGGCUAUAUUGAUAGUUGCAAACGACAACUCUCAGUUCGUAGCAGCCAACGACAACUCUGUUGUCGCUGGUGAAGGUCGCAAAGCUGCCUAAUUGGGCGGUAGCGACAGCUACAAAUUAAUCCCUCGCCCUUAACCCGGUGAGGUGGGGUUUGGCCGGUUUCCUCGCAACAGAAAACCGGCCGCU